rnacentral:rRNA from 1 species
AGAUUGAACGCUGGCGGCAGGCCUAACACAUGCAAGUCGAGCGGUAGAGAGGUGCUUGCACCUCUUGAGAGCGGCGGACGGGUGAGUAAAGCCUAGGAAUCUGCCUGGUAGUGGGGGAUAACGCUCGGAAACGGACGCUAAUACCGCAUGCGUCCUACGGGAGAAAGCGAGGGGACCUUCGGGCCUUGCGCUAUCAGAUGAGCCUAGGUCGGAUUAGCUAGUUGGUGAGGUAAUGGCUCACCGAAGGCGACGAUCCGUAACUGGUCUGAGAGGAUGAUCAGUCACACUGGAACUGAGACACGGUCCAGACUCCUACGGGAGCAGCAGGUGGGGAAUAGUUGGACAAGU